GCACUGAGGCCUGUUACAUUUAUACAGUGUUAGAGCAAUGGCUGCAACCUACAGCCUUUAAACUAGCGAUUACAAUGCUGACAGUAAACUCGUCAGUCCAGAUGUUACCACAUUACUCUAUGGUACUUAGAGUUAAAAACAACUGAGACAGGUUGAUUAAAAUAACAGCUGUCAGUUCUCUCAUUCCUUAUAUCAAGACUGGAGAUCACACUACUGAUUUCAGUUCAUUUAAUAUGUGAGUGCACAGAUUCAUUCUCACCUGGACAUAAAUGAUGAUCAAAGGAUGAUGAAUUCAUCAAAUCCCAGCCUCUAACACAGUGCGCUGAAUCUUAGCUUUGAAUGUCCAGUAUAUUCUAAUCAGUGCAAUUUAAGCAUUCACUGAACCUAUAGUAUCUACACCUAUGUGGCAAAUGUGUGGUAAAGAUACAGAUAAUGAAAUUUAAUUAUUAAUACAAUAUACAUCAUGAAAAAUGAAAGCUGAAAUUGAUUCAGUUUAGUACUUUUCUCUGUAUGCUCUGUGAUUAUAAAGGCCUUAAAUUCUGUGAUAUAUACUGUAAAUGAUUUUCACAGAGGUCUUAAAGUACUUAAAUCACUGCUGAUAGUCUGGUUGUUUACAUUUUCACAUGUUUUUGUGUCUGUAGGGCUGUUUGAUGACGAUUUGGACUCCUCUGGGAGAUGAGGACACACCCACAUCUGUUCCAUACUGCAGCCAUUGAUGGUGUUACAGCUCUGAGUCAGAUUUGGGCCAUCAGAUGCACACACUGGAAAACCAGCACCUGGACUUCAUGCAGGAGAGACUGCCUCAGUGAUAAUUCAUCAGCAGCUGUGGAGAGAUGCAUUUGAAUAUCUUCUGGUUCCACUCUUCCUUACCUGGAAGCUGAAUAUUGCUGAUUUCUGACAAGGACACAAACCUCAGUGCUUAUCAUGGGUGUUACAUCCUCUGUGCAGCAAUUCCAGAGAAAACAAGAGAGCAACGACCACUCAUUAAGACCAGACAGAAAUCUGUCCCUUUCUGGCAGCUGUGGAAACUUCCAAUAAGAAAGUUUGCAUUCUUAGAACAAUGCUGGAUCAUGUGUGAUGUGUCAUCAUAUGAGGAUAUUACAUUUUGACUUAAUUCUGCUCAAUUAAGUGUUUUGAUCGUUGAUCCAGUAUGGCAGCUUUGUGUUGUGCUGCAAGUUAAAACCCAUUGUCCUCAUGAGCACAGCAUCUAACAACUCUCCUUAAAAAAAGUCGAUUGACUUUAACUGGACACAAUGGUUUCCAGUGGGAGAUACAUUCAUCAGUCACCCGUGACACUGGAGAAGUCACCUGGAUGAGUGAUAAAUAUAUAUAAAAUAUGUGUGUGUGUGAUCUUUGUUUUCUCCAAUUCACCAGGUCUGUAAAGUUCAGUAUGACUGUGGUACAUGAUACAAAAGAAUAAAUACAGAAGAAUAACAACUUUAUGUGAAUAACUUUACUCUUCUUAAAAAUAACUCAUAAAACAAGUAAAUGUACAAAUGUGUACAAGUUAGAGACUUCCUCAGUAAGUUUACACUCUUUUGGAGUGAUUUUAAUUGUGUGUUAAAGAAGAAAGAGAUUAGAGGAUGCAGAGUCCAUCACUGAGGCAGUCUCUCCUGCAUGAAGUCCAGGUGCUGGUUUUCCAGUGUGUGCAUCUGAUGGCCCAAAGCUGACUCAGAGCUGUAACACCAUCAAUGGCUGCAGUAUGGAACAGAUGUGGGUGUGUCCUCAUCUCCCAGAGGAGUCCAAAUCGUCAUCAAACAGCCCUACAGACACAAAAACGUGAAAAUGUAAACAACCAGACUAUCAGCAGUGAUUUAAGUACUUUAAGACCUCUGUGAAAAUCAUUUACAGUAUAUAUCACAGAAUUUAAGGCCUUUAUAAUCACAGAGCAUACAGAGAAAAGUACUAAACUGAAUCAAUUUCAGCUUUCGUUUUUCAUGAUGUAUAUUGUAUUAAUAAUUAAAUUUCAUUAUCUGUGUCUUUACCACACAUUUGCCACACAGGUGUAGAUACUAUAGGUUCAGUGAAUACUUAAAUUGCACUGAUUAGAAUAUACUGGACAUUCAAAGCUAAGAUUCAGCGCACUGUGUUAGAGGCUGGGAUUUGAUGAAUUCAUCAUAUAUACAACCUUUGAUCAUCAUUUAUGUCCAGGUGAGAAUGAAUCUGUGCACUCACAUAUUAAAUGAACUGAAAUCAGUAGUGUGAUCUCCAGUCUUGAUAUAAGGAAUGAGAGAACUGACAGCUGUUAUUUUAAUC
ensembl:lncRNA